CCUACGGGUGGCAGCAGUGGGGAAUAUUGGGCAAUGGAGGCAACUCUGACCCAGCAAUGCCGCGUGAGUGAUGAAGGUAAUUUUAUUGUAAAGCUCUUUUCUUUGGAACGAAUAAAUGACGGUACCAAAGGAAUAAGCCCCGGCUAACUACGUGCCAGCAGCCGCGGUAAUACGUAGGGGGCAAGCGUUAUCCGGAUUUACUGGGUGUAAAGGGAGCGCAGACGGCUGUGCAAGUCUGGAGUGAAAGGCGGGGGCCCAACCCCCGGACUGCUCUGGAAACUGUAAAGCUGGAGUGCAGGAGAGGUAAGCGGAAUUCCUAGUGUAGCGGUGAAAUGCGUAGAUAUUAGGAGGAACACCAGUGGCGAAGGCGGCUUACUGGACUGCAACUGACGUUGAGGCUCGAAAGCGUGGGGAGCAAACAGGAUUAGAUACCCCGGUAGUC
rnacentral:rRNA from 1 species